rnacentral:tRNA from 2 species
GUGGGUGUAGCUCAGUUGGUAGAGCGCCUGACUGUGGCUCAGGCUGUCGCGGGUUCAAGUCCCGUCAUCCACCCCA